UAGGGAAUCUUCCACAAUGGACGCAAGUCUGAUGGAGCAACGCCGCGUGAGUGAAGAAGGUCUUCGGAUCGUAAAACUCUGUUGUUAGAGAAGAACACGAGUGAGAGUAACUGUUCAUUUCGAUGACGGUAUCUAACCAGCAAGUCACGGCUAACUACGUGCCAG
rnacentral:rRNA from 1 species